GAAUCGCCCGAUCUCAUCUGAUCUCGGAAGCUAAG
rnacentral:rRNA from 1 species